rnacentral:tRNA from 1 species
GGGGAUAUGGCGGAAUUGGUAGACGCUACGGACUUAAAAUCCGUUGGUUUACGAAACUGUGAGGGUUCAAGUCCCUCUAUCCCCA